rnacentral:misc_RNA from 1 species
AUGCCACUGUCUCCCAGAAACUGGUAUUUCAGUAACCGUAUCAAUAUCACGAAAAAAACUUUUAUACUUGUCUUUUGCAUUUUCGUAUUGUGCAUCUUACUUCUUAUCUUCAGUUGGUCGUGGUACCCAAAUACAAAAUUUGUAAUAGACAGUCGUAUAAGAAGUUGGAGGGAUCAGCUCCCAUUGAUGGAAUUGUAUAACGUAAACUGUGAUACGUGUGUCACUAAUUGGGAUGCGCUUUUAGCAUCCGACACUUUAACUGGUGAUGAACUUUUGCAAUACUUUUUGUGGACCAAUCAAUCAUCUUGUCAGUUAUCCCACGACUUUGGUGGUAUCAUGAUGAGUAACCCUUCUGGAUUGGCUGGACAAAAGGCCGUAUGCAUAGAUAAAAAAAUAGCGCCUCAGCCUGGCAAAUGUCUUGUUUACUCUUUUGGAAUAAACAACGAGUGGUCUUUCGACGAAAACAUGGCACGCUACGGAUGCGAGGUGUUUGCUUUCGAUCCAUCAAUGGGGCUAGAUAAACAUGAUCAUAUUCCCGGAAACGUUCAUUUCUACAACUGGGGCCUAGGCGACCGCGAUGAACAUGACUACCGCUUCAACUGGACAAUUCGUUCACUCUCUUCAAUCUACGAAACACUUUCUCCUCUUCAUGGAUACAAAAUUAUUGACUACUUGAAAAUAGACAUUGAAUAUUCAGAAUGGAUAACACUGCCGAAUAUCAUAGCUUCCGGUAUGCUGUCUAAAAUCCGACAAAUGGGCAUGGAGAUACAUUUAGAUGGUCAAGAUUCAUUAGAACAGCACCGCGAAUGGGCCAAGCUUCUAAGAUCAAUUGAGAAAAUGGUAUUUUAUGGAAAAGCAGCUGCUUUCAUACUUUUAUUUCAAUUUCCCGUCGCCUUCGUUACCUCACACACCGUGUAGUCUGCAUAUUAGCUGAUACCUUCUGCUACAAACGUCAAUUAAGAAACAAGGAUUUAUCGAUGGUGGGAAUGGAACCAUACAACUUUAUAUUGGCAGUCUUCUACUCUACCGCUACGCGACAUUAGAUAUCAUCAAACAACCUAAUUCAUAAUAAAUGCGGAUAAGAUAG